CUACAACAAAUAUUCACAUUAAUAGCACAUGACGAUAGCUCAUUUUCCACAACUGCUAUGAUAGAGUAAUUAUUUUUUCGAUUGUUCUAUAAUAACACUAAAACAAUGCUAAGAAACCAAAUCACAUAUUCCGCCAACAUUUGCUCGAAAAUAUUGAGUUAAGCGCCAUAACUUAGAAAAUAUUAACUUAAGCGCCACAAUUUUUCCUUUCUUUUACAUUGGUUUGGAGACAAAAAUGAAAAAAAGAAAAAUUUCGACCAAAAGAAAAACAGUUCUUGAGGAAACCAUCUUCUUCUCCCUCCAUCCUCCUCGCAGAUCUACUCCGCCGUUGUUGCUGAACCAUCUCUCCCACCCUCUUCCAUCUUAGCCACCUCAUCCAUCUCCAAUUCCUACGACCCAGCUCACCCAAACCCUAAAUCGAAAUUUUGGUUGAUUUAGGGUUUAUGCCUCAUCUUCCCCGUCUCUCUCUCACCUCAUUGGCUCUCUCAGUGAGGAGCCCGAUUCCAGUUUAGGGUUUAUGCCUCAUCUUCCUCGUUUCUCCCUUUCUCUCUUCGUAGCCAGCCACCACCAUGGAUUCUCGAGCUAUACUCGAUUCCGCUUUGUUUCAACUCACUCCUACUCGCACGAGAGUCGAUCUGGGCUCUUCUGUGAGAGUAAGAAGCAUAAGCUAGCUUCUAGAAUUUCAAACCUUUCGUCUCUCAUCUCCAAUUUGCUAGAGAUCAGAUCUCUAAAGGAGGUUACUCCAUCUCUCUUCAUCCUCCUUCUUUUCACUCUCCUUGGUUCACCAAAUCCACUUUUGAUCGAUUUGUAAACACGCCUGCGAUAAUCGAGAGAUUUGCGAAUCUGGAGAAAGAGAUCUUGUAGAUUGAGCAUUCUAUUCAAGCUAAUGAAAACGCCAAUGCUGCUGCUGAUGCUGAGCAAUUACAAACACAAGAUGGUGAAGCUAAUUCUGGAGUAAGUAGUAAUCUAAGGAAGUCGAACGAGUUAUUCAAGAAGGUAUUUGAGAAUGGCAAUGAGGUUACAGGAGAGGAAACCUCAAACUUCAACGUCUUCUUGAAACACAUAGGACAUUGCUACUGUAGGAUUUCGAUAAGUUUUGGUGGUUGCAGUGAAAGCCGUGCAGUAGAUACAGAGUCACUAUGUGUUCUAGCCGGAAAGGUGGUCUGGUCUGUUUGCAUUGAUGUUCACAUUUUUGACAAUGGAAUUGGCUGCAUUUCUUCUUCAUGUUCAGAGCUAUGGUGCAAGGCAGUGCAAGUGUGGAUCAGAGGACCUUGCUCUGUCCAUGACAUCAACUCUUACUCUCUCUCUCUCUCGGAACAAAUUGUAAAUGGUAACAUUUUUUUCCUUCUUCUUAUCUGAGUCAUUGCUUGACCUACUUAGUAGGAGUUGCUCAUGCUUCAUUUGAGUACAUCAAGUUCAUAAUGUGAGUUGGAAUAUCUUAUUGGAAGUUUUGGUAGUCUUGUGAAGGUUUGGAAUAUAUCUUAUUGCUCUGCUUGUUUUAUCCGUUUCAUUAUGUUUUUGUGUUUAUGUCUUGGUAUAGGUUCCCACAUUGCCUAUAUCUGUUAGUUGUCUAUUUGAACAUGUUGUAACGUUGAAUAAUAAGGUUUGUAGGUUUCCGCUCAUGUAUAGGUAACACUUACAAUUUAUGGUUUAUUUAUCUCUAUGUGAUUGCUAUGUGCUUAUAGGGUUAAUGGCAUAUUGUGGCUUCUCACGAUUCUUUUGUUUCAUAUGAGCAGAUAUAUAUGGAGAGGAUAACUAACAUGUCUUUUUCAUACAUUCAAAGUGAACUAGUAGCUGUUCAAUGGACUAUUUCAAGAAACGCUAAGUGAGCAGCUAAAAGAGAGUCUUUGCUACAACAAGUAAGAAAGGCUGGGUUACAUGUACAUGUCAUGUUAGUUUUAUUGUUAGUUUUAUUUUGUUUAAGACUUGGUGACACUUUGUUAUGUAAGACUUAU